rnacentral:rRNA from 1 species
GGCCACUGCUAUCGGGCUCCGACUAAGCCAUGCGAGUCUAGGGGCUCUUCGGAGCACCGGCGGACUGCUCAGUAACACGUGGACAACCUACCCUCGGGUGGGGGAUAACCUCGGGAAACUGAGGCUAAUACCCCAUAGACCUCGGAUACUGGAAUGUUCCGAGGCUGAAAGCUCUGGCGCCCGAGGAUGGGUCUGCGACCUAUCAGGUAGUUGGUGGUGUAAAGGACCACCAAGCCUACGACGGGUACGGGCCCUGAGAGGGGAAGCCCGGAGAUGGACUCUGAGACACGAGUCCAGGCCCUACGGGGCGCAGCAGGCGCGAAACCUUCGCAAUGUGCGAAAGCACGACGAGGGGAGCCCGAGUGCCCUUCCUUCGGGGAGGGCUUUUCUGGAGCCUAAAAAGCUCCAGGAAUAAGGGCUGGGCAAGACGGGUGCCAGCCGCCGCGGUAAUACCCGCAGCUCAAGUGGUGGCCGCUUUUAUUGAGCCUAAAGCGUCCGUAGCCGGACCCGUAAAUCCCUGGGUAAAUCCUGGCGCUCAACGUCAGGAAUUCCGGGGAGACUGCGGGUCUUGGGACCGGGAGAGGCUGGAGGUACUCCCGGGGUAGCGGUGAAAUGCUGUAAUCCUGGGGGGACCACCUGUGGCGAAAGCGUCCAGCUUGAACGGCUCCGACGGUGAGGGACGAAGGCCAGGGGAGCGAACCGGAUUAGAUACCCGGGUAGUCCUGGCUGUAAACGCUGCCCGCUUGGUGUUGCCGGUCUUUCGGGGGCCGGCAGUGCCGGAGCGAAGGUGUUAAGCGGGCCGCUUGGGAAGUACGGCCGCAAGGCUGAAACUUAAAGGAAUUGGCGGGAGAGCACUGCAACGGGAGGAGCGUGCGGUUU